UCCCAGUGUAGCUGUUGAUGAGCUUUUACAAGAGUUUGACUAUUUAAUAAGGACUGCUUCUACUCCUCUUAUCCAUCAAACCAUAGCUCAGCAUCUUCAGAAUAGUAACUGUGAAGUAGAUCAAACUGUUCUGAAAGAACUAGCAUCUGCUCUUUGUAAGUCAAAUCCAGUUACAGCUUGUUUUGGUUGUGAUGGUCCACUUUCCACUGCAUGGAAGUGAAAGAUCUACUAUAAAAAAUAAUUCAAUAUUGUAGAACCUGCAGAAUAUGUUCUUGACUCACAGAAUAGGAAAUCAUUCCAAUACAUCCCUAUACUAAAAUCUUUACAACAAAUACUGAGUUGUGAAACUUUAUUGGAUAAAGCAAUUAAUUUAAAAACUCAUUAAGUCAAACCUGAUAAAACCCUGUAUAGAUCCUUCUAUGAGGGUAGUAAUUACAAAGAAAAUGUGGUGUUAUCACAGGACUGUGCUAUUUCACUGAUAUUGUAUGUAGAUGAUUUUGAAAUUUGUAAUCCGUUUGGUACUUCAAGGAAAAAACAAAGUCUUUGGGGUAUAUUGAACAUUGGGCAAUUUACCUGCCAGUUAUCACUCCUCUCUGUCAUCUAUAUAUUUGCCUGCCCUUAUUCAUAGUGAUGAUGUUAAGUGCAACAGUGUGUUGAAGCCUUUGAUAGAUGGAACAACAUGGAGUGUUUAUUUCUAAGUUGGGGAAAACCCUGAAAGGCUUAGUUCAUUGUGUAAUAGCAGACAACCUUGGGGCCCACAGUAUUGCAGGUUUUGUGGAAAAUUUCUCAGGAAAAUAUGUCUGCAGAUUUUGCACAGCAGAAAAUAUUGAUAUUCAAAUAAAAGAGGUCAAUUCAGGAGCUUUCUCUCUUAGGAGCAAGGAAAUUCAUACUUGUCAUCUCAAAGCUAUUGAUGAAAAUUCAUUGGCCAGUCAUUUUGGUGUGAAAAGGAAGUGUGUGCUGUCUCAAAAUCUGCCAUAUUUUAAUGAGACUCAGGGUUUCCCCCCAGAUAUAGUUCAUGAUCUCUUUGAAGGGAUUAUCCCUGUUGAAAUUGCCCUUUGUCUUAAUGUGUUAAUUUCCAAACAAUAUCUUACAUUAGCUGGUUUAAAUGAAGCAAUAAUAGCAUUUCCAUUUAAGUGGACUGAUAAGACAAACCGUCCCCAUCCUGUGCUACUCACCUACACAACAAAGAAAACAACUGGAGGAAAUGCACAUGAGAACUGGAGUUUGCUGAGAUUUUUUCCUCUCUUGAUUGGAUGCAGAGUUCCUCCUAAUGAACCAGCAUGGCAAAUCCUCUGUGAACUAAAGGACAUUGUUGAACUUCUUGUAGCACCAUAUCACACUGACGAAUCUGUUGCUUAUCUUGAUUUCAAGAUAUCUGAACACAGGACAGUAUUCCAAAAGUUUUCCCCAUCAAAGAAUUACAUCAUUAUUUGGAACACUAUCCACAGUUGAUACGUCAGUUUGGCCUGCUGGUUGCACUGUGGACUAUGAGAUUUGAAGCAAAACAGCUUCUUCAAAACAGCAGUCCGUCAAACAAACUGUUACAAAAAUGUAUUGUAUUCUUUAGCUCAAAGGCACCAAUUUCAGACUGCACACAGUCUGCUCAUGUGUCAACUUGCUAAACCAAUUUUGGAGGUUACAGAUGUUUCAAUACUUCACAUUGAUGUCAUUAAUCAGGAUAUUGCACUGGCAGUGAAACAGAAGCACCCAGAUAUCAUCAGUGUGAACCUUGCAAAAAAUGUCACCUACAACGGCUUCAACUACAGGACUGGAAUGGUGGUAGCCCAUGGGUCGCUGGCAGGACUUCCAGAAUUUUGUGAAAUAGUUCACGUGAUUGUUCUUCACAAGAGUCUUACUUUCAUUGUCAAAAAACUGGCUGCAUGGUACCUGGAACAUUAUCGAGCUUAUGACGUGGCCAUAUCUACUCCCAGAGAACUAAGGCUUGUUGAGGCACAUGAGCUGAGAGAUCAGUACCCUCUGGCUCACUAUAUGGUUGGUGGUCGGCGCCUCGUCUCCUUGAAGAGACACAUAUAUGCAUAAGGUUGGAUAUGUAAGGAUGUUGGGCUGGUAAUGUUUAAAUUACAUUUUUCAAUACAGUAUGUGGAAUGUAUUUUUUCAGGUGUGUGUGUGGGAUCAAUCUCAGUUGUUCUGUCAGACAAAACAACCUGUUGUUGUAGAGAUGUUCCCAUUUCAUGUCUAGGGUCCAGUGUGAGAUGGUAACACAAAAGGGAGAAUUACAUACAUUAAAAACAAAUCUUAACAUAUAAUAAUUUAAGUACUUUAGACUCUCAUUUUUCAAACUGAAAAUGCCACUUGUAGUGAAACAGUGUAACACUAACAAUUCCAUGCAAAUUCAGUAGAGCGCUUGGUUGCAUAAUUUACUACAAAGUAUUAAGUCUGUGUAGGUAAAUGUAUUAUUAAAAACAUGGUUGAAUUUAAUAUUGAAUAUAUAUGAGAUGUGGAAUAUAACUAAUACUUGCACUUAAACAGUUUUGAUUUUCUUUUUCUUUUUUUUUUACUAGAUCCAUUUGGAUGGGCUGCCAUGACAACGAAGAGGCCAGCUAAGUUGUGCAUUAUUCUGAAUCCUGAUGAUGUCAGGAAGCUAAUUUUGCCACAUGGAAUUUCAGAAACACUAGAAGAGCUUAUGGAUGAAGUCAGGAAAAUAUGUGGAUUAACUGAGAGUUUUAGGCUGCAGUACCAAGACAGAGAUUUUAGAGAUGCACUAGUAAACUUGACAUCUACUGCUGAACUUGAGGACUUAGCCACUGUCAAGGUUAUCCCAGUAACAGAAGACUGCAGGGAAACAUUUGAUCACUGUGUUCAUGACUCGCUGUCUGUUCGUUCAGAUGAUGCAGAGCUCCUGUCCUCAGCAUCUAGUUCAGUUUCUACAAGAACUCAAAUGUGGCCAAGAGAGUUUUGUAUACCAGUAUUCUCUUAUGACACUGAACUGCAGUUAGAAAAGGGAAAUACAGCAUAUAAAGCAAACAUGACAAGACUGACACUGAGCUCAAAAAUGAAGUCAGAUAUUCUGGAAAAGGUAGCUGAAGAGAUUUUCAAGUACAAAGCAUACCCAACAGAUUCUGACUUUUGUGAUGUUGCAGAAGCACUCAUUAGGAAGCAUCCAUGCCUCACUGAACCUGGGUCAUACAGCAGGUGCUAUGGAUGGAAGCAGAGACUGAAAACAAAGAUGGGCAACUACCGAACCCAACUUAAGGGCAUUGGGUGUUCUGAGUUGCUUGCAAAUUCACUGAAUUCCAAAGCUCCAGAUGAUGCAUUGCCAAUGAAGAAAGUAAAGAGACCAAGGCAAGGAAAGGCCAACCAUAUUCCUGACAUUCCAGUUGGAGAAACUCCAGGAAAACUGGAGAGUGAGAGAGUGACACUUUUAAGUGAAGUGAAAGAGAGAGAGGCAAUCACACAGUGAUAAAGGACAAAAUGGCCAAAACCUUCUCACUGAGAAGGCAAGAACACACACACACACACACACGUACAACCAAGAUCUGAUCUCAGAGGAGAACUGAACUGUGCUGGACACGGACACACACACACAUACAUAAUACACACGCACAAAAAAAAAAAAAAAAGAACUGAACUGUGCUGGACAGUCAGACACACACACACCAAAUUAUCCUGUUUGCACGUACAUGCCACUUUACAUUUAUAUAUAUUUAUAUUAAUGCUGUUUACAUGUGUCACUUUAAUAUCUGCAGUCACUGUAUACACUGUUCUUUGCACAUUGUCUUGUUCAUUGCACAAAGUCGGCCUAUAUGUUGUUUGUCUGCACUGUCUUGUCUUGUCUUGUCUUGUCUUGUCUUUUCUUCCUGUGCACUUCUGUUUUUUGUCUAGUUCUUAAAGACUGCACCUUAAGUAUAGUUUAAUUUUUAAAUUAUAGUUUAAUUUUUUUAUCUCUAUGUUUAGCUCUAUGUUUGUCUGCGUCACUGUACUUUGUCUGUGUUCUGUGUAGCACCUCUGCUCUAGGAGGAACGUUGUUUCACUUCACUGUGUACUGCAUCUGCUAUAUAUGGUUGAAGUGACAAUAAAGCUUCUUUGACUUUGACUUGAAAUUGUGGAGAAGGAAAUGGGAGUGGAGGAGCUGAGAGAGAGAUGGCCUGCAUUGUUCAGCAUGGAUGAGUCAGGUUGUACAAUUGGACUAGAUCAGUUUUGUCUGUGUGUCUCGAGCCUGGACGUGAAUCUAAGACGAGAGUGUCUGCUGAAGUGCCUUACUGUGUACUUGGGGGAGGACGUUGGCCAACUCAUUAAAGACUAUCUGGUUGUUCAGAAGGACAAAGCAGUAUCUGAACUUGAAAGGUGCACCAUGGCCGUGUUUGUCCUCAGGGAAGAAGGAAAUCCUCUCCAGGCACCACAGGAAAUUGGGAUUGUGAUUGAAGGUGUGGAAGUCCUUAAUGAGUUGCCAUCAGUCGCACAUGCAUUUGCUAUGUUGUUUGGCAUCAUCUAUGUGCUAAACCUGAGCUAUCCAAGUGAGCUCAGACACAUUUUUGAGGCUCUGCAGAAAAUAUUUAUGGAAACAGAGCCCAAAAAAAUGUCACGCAGGGUUUUCAGUCUCAGU